ACUGCUCAGUAACACGUAGUCAAUCUACCCUAUGGACGGGGAUAACCUCGGGAAACUGAGGAUAAAACCCGAUAGAUCAUAAUGCCUGGAAUGGUUUAUGGUUCAAAUGAUUCGUCGCCGUAGGAUGGGACUGCGGCCUAUCAGCUUGUUGGUGAGGUAAUGGCCCACCAAGGCUAUUACAGGUACGGGCUCUGAGAGGAGAAGCCCGGAGAUGGGUACUGAGACACGGACCCAGGCCCUAUGGGGCGCAGCAGGCGAGGAACCUUUGCAAUGUGCGCAAGCACGACAAGGUUAAUCCGAGUGUUUCCUGCUAAAGGAAUCUUUUGUUAGUUCUAAAACCACUAAUGAAUAAUUGGUGGGCAAGUUCUGGUGUCAGCCGCCGCGGUAAAACCAGCACCUCAAGUGGUCAGGGCAUUUAUUGGGCCUAAAGCAUCCGUAGCCUGUUCUAUAAGUUUCCGGUUAAAUCCAUUAGCUCAACUAAUGGGCCGCCGAAAAUACUGUGGAACUAGGGAGUGGGAGAGGUAGACGGUACUCGGUAGGAAGGGGUAAAAUCCUUUGAUCUAUUGAUGACCACCUGUGGCGAAUUCGGUCUACCAGAACACGUUCGACGGUGAGGGAUGAAAGCUGGGGGAGCAAACCGGAUUAGAUACCCGGGUAGUCCCAGCUGUAAACGAUGCAGACUCGGUGAUGUGCAGGCUUGUGGCCAGUGCAGUGUCGCAGGGAAGCCGUUACUGUUGCCGCCUGGGAAGUACGUACGCAAGUAUGAAACUUAAAGGAAUUGGCGGGGGAGCACCACAACGGGUGCCGCCUGCGGUUCAAUUGGAGUCAAAGGAAUUGGCGGGGGAGCACAAGGGGUGAA
rnacentral:rRNA from 1 species